AGGUCAGCAGUCAGUCAGUCGAUGGCCGGGAAGCUAAAUUCUCACUUCAAGUCUUCAGAGUGAGGCUGAAGACAGUUUGCUUGGUUUUAGCUACACAGUGCCCCCUACAGACUUAAACUCUUCACUUACGGCACUGUUAAAUUCAUUUAUUCUAAACGUCACAUACAUUUUUAUUUAGUUUUGGUCUUUUGGCACUUGCAUUCAGAGGAAAAUACAACUGUUUUUCUAAAAAGGAUAGGAUGAGAGAGCAUGUGCAACUGGUCAGUCCACCUCUUUGAAUAUUCAUUCAUUAAAAAAAAAAAAAAUCUGUUAAAGGUUAAAGCUUGAAUGUUAUGAAGAGAAAAAAAAGUCAAGUAACCAAUCUGAUCGCUUCAGUUAAUUCUUCAGACUGAUUCAAACCGGUUAAACAAGUGAGUAAAAGAACCGGCUCAUAAGAGUCAUUCGUUCAAGAACAAGACUGCACUGGACGCGCUGUAGCCGUUUUGAAUCACUCAUAAGAGUCAUUCGUUUGUAAGUUAAACUACACAUGUUUGUGAUUCACUAAAUAGAAAUGCCUCGUAAUAGUUAUUGUUUGUGAAUCGUUUUGUAUGCUCUGAUUCACUAAAAAGAACCGAUAUUAUUUAAGAACCGUUCAUUUGUUUCUGAAAAUGGAGGCUAUAUUGGUCACGCUGCAUGUUUUUGAAUCAUAAUGAAUUGGCUGAUAAUACUCGCUUUCCCCCCAUGAAUCAGAACAUGAGACGCGUUCGUUUACCAUUAAGUGAGUCCGCGAGGACAACUCAGAAGAAAGACGUUAUCAUUAUCGACGGCAAUGAGAUUAUACGGACAGCAAAUGAAGACUGAACACCCACUCAAAAUUCUUCUCCCAGGAACCCAAGAAGAAAGUCAUUUGAACUUUUAGAGAAACAUCUGUGACAAUCUUGAUACUUGAAUGAAACAUAACUGAAAACACAAUUAAGCCGGUGUGAAACAACCAGCCCAGAUAAGCUCAUGUUGAGCAGGUGCCUCGAGCACCUCAUUCCCACAGAAUGCAGGAUGGCGUCCAGAUCCUCUAAUAUGGAGGAGAAAUCCAGCUGCACCUUCAAAGUAUCUGAUGGGCUAAGAAGAGCCUGUGAUCAUGUGACUCUCUGAUUGUUAAGCUCUGAAAUAACAAAGCAUGGGUUAAACAAAGACAAGCGCUAGCAGAUGUGUGUGAGCAUCAGCAACAGACACGUAAAGCUGACCCAUGCACUUCUUAGUCGGUAAAACAUUUGUCAUCCACAUCCACUCAGAGCCAAGUCUUUGGCAAUAUCUUUAUCGUUUCUUACCAUGUUGCUACUGCACAAAGAAACACACAACUGAAAACAUCAUGUAGCUCGCAGGUCCGUAGGAAGGAAGAAUCACAAAUCAGAUUUUUCAGUGUCUCAGUUAUUUCUCCUAAACAGAUAUGAGAUUACAUAAAGAUCAAAUGGAGACUUUUGCUUAAAGAAAUAGAAAAGAAAAGUCAUUGCAAACAUUUUUAUUUCAACUAAGAAAUUUUGGCAGAAAGUU
rnacentral:lncRNA from 1 species